rnacentral:rRNA from 1 species
UACAGAGGUCCCGAGCGUUGUUCGGAUUCACUGGGCGUAAAGGGUGCGCAGGUGGCAUGGCAAGUUUGAUGUGAAAGCUUCGGGCUUAACCCGGAAAUGGCAUUGAAUACUGCUGUGCUGGAGGAUUGGAGGGGGGACUGGAAUUCUUGGUGUAGCAGUGAAAUGCGUAGAUAUCAAGAGGAAUACCAGUGGCGAAGGCGAGUCCCUGGACAAUACCUGACACUGAGGCACGAAAGCCAAGGGGGCAAACAGG